CACAAACUCUUGGCUGGCGUCGAAGAGAUUGGGCCAGUCGCCGGCGUUAUGGCGGAGGAAGGGAAAGUGGUCCGUUACUUUUCUCGGGAUUUCGAAUGGGAGGAGCUCCGAGAUGAGGUCGAGCGGAACCCUAAGUUUGGCUACCAUCUCUUCCCUUUCUCUCUUUCUCUUUCCUCCUCAUCUCAAGUGGCCGCUGACGCCGAAGCCUGGAGAAGCUUCCACCGCCGCCAUUCCACUGGGUUGUUUUUUAAGGAAAGACGUUACCUUUUAAAGGAAUUUCCUGAACUUACUGCUUUAAAUGAUUCCAUCCAUGUUUUAGAAGUGGGUUGCGGUAAUGGGAGCACAUCUCUCCCAAUAUUAAGAGCAAAGCAAAAUGUCAUUGUCUAUGCUUGUGACUGCAGUCAAGACGCUCUCGAUAAAGCAGGAGAAAUGGUUGCUAGUUCCAAUUUUCCUUCAAUCAAGCGUCAAUUUUAUCCAUUUCUUCUUGAUUUUUCAGUUAAUAGAUUUCCAGAUUGGUUGUUAUGCACUGCUUGUCAAAAGAGUUCACUUGAAAAACAAUCCCUCUUCACGCCAGAUGCUAGUGGGAAAGCAUUUAUUAGAUUAAAUGGGCCAUCCUUCCUUGAAGCUAAAUGCUGCAUCGGCGGAAUGGACUAUGUAACCCUGAUAUUCACUCUGUCCGCUAUAACAUUUCAAAGGAUGUCAUUUGUUAUCGCAGAGUGCAUGGCUGUUUUAAAACCUGGUGGUCUGCUUCUGUUCAGAGAUUAUGGGCUUUAUGACAUGACAAUGCUUCGAUUUCCACCAGAACAAAGAGUGGGUUUUAGGGAGUACAUGCGGUCAGAUGGCACACUUUCUUAUUUCUUUUCUCUGGAUAUUGUGAGAAAGCUUUUUCUUGGCGCUGGAUUUAUCGAGUUGGAGCUUGAAUACUGUUGUGUGCUCUCUGUGAAUCAUCGGAGUGGUAAGAAGAUGAAGAGGGUCUGGGUUCAUGGCAAAUUCCAGAAGCCCAUUGUUGGUUCGUCAUGAUAGUCUAAGAAUAAUGCAGUGGAUGUUAGGGAAGGAGGCUAUGAAAGCCGGAGAAAAAUUGCAGAUGUGCAAGUUUCCAAUUCAGCGAAGUGGUGCACCAUGCUAACUGCAAGCAUCAAGGUAGUUCGAGCUAAAGCCCCCGACAGUCUCCAAAAUGAUCAAAACCAGGUGCAGCACUUGAACUUUCUUCUUGGUACCCAUAAAACUAAUAUUUUGCAUUUUCAAACAAGAACUGAAUCUGCCAAUGAGAACUUUCAGGAGCCACUAGAUCAACUGUUUUUGCAUCAUUUGAUGAUUUUGACUCUUUGUAGUAUUGUUUGUGGUUUUCUUAACCCUUUUGCCCUUUAGCAGAGCCUUCGUUUGUCUUUUAGAGAAGAAAGAGACUUAUAGACACCUCACCCACAAUCAUAUUUAAAAAUAGCUUGGAAUCAUGGACUUCUUCUCAUCUUGCUUCGUGCUUCCCCACUAUAAUUGGAUUAUGAUUUGUAAACAGUGAUGUUUCAAGUUUACAUAGAAAUUAUCAUAUACAGAACAAGAUGAAAUUGCUACAUGAUUGUUUAGGGAAAAUAAGAUAAUUGCAUAAAUCAAA